GGCUCCCCCUUCAGGACGAGAAAACUGGGGCUCAGAGAAAGAAUGGCAGAUGGGCGUGGCCGUCGCCGCCCAGAGACUCUGCUCUGGGCCUGAGUGUCCUCCAGUGAACCUGAUGUGAAUCAGCUCACCUCCACGGCACCCAUGAGCUGUAGUAUCCAGUGUCUGUUUGGUGCCACAGUUGAUGACACGGAGAUGAAAGGACCCACAACUCUCAUACUUUCCACAAAACAGACCUGCCCUGAGCAACUGAAGCUUCAAUUCUCCUAGGUUCCUACCCAGGCUCUGGACUCUAGAUGUGGUUCCAGCACGUAAACUAGGAAGUAACCCAGCCCCUGUGCUCAUAAUUGCACUCCACUGUGUCAGCUUUCUCAGUCUUGCUCCUCUAAUGGGAUGGUAAGCACAGCUACUCCGUUAUGUGAUCCUAGUGGCUGCAGAAAGCUUCACAGUGCUGCAUCUUAACCCCUGCGCCACCAAGGAGGCCCUUGGAUUGGAAGAUCUUGUCAAGCCAAAGUGUUUCUCUCCCAAAGGCUGAGAUGAGGACCCAAAGGAUAUGGCCUCUGGAACGAGUGCACUGUGGCAAAGACCACUGGAGAGGGCAAUCUCUCUGAAAGAGCUGCAGUUCAGCCACCAAAGCGACUGCCCAUGGGGCUUGGGGCCAGGCCCUAGGAUGCUAAGCAUUCCAGGAGGCUGACUCCGGGAGAAUCAGUGAGGUGAAGGUACAGGAUCCCGUAUUGGGGUGGACAACCAUCCUGAUUUGAAAACUGAAAGCUCUGCUUCCUUGGAAACCCUUAAGUUCUAGGUAAACUGUAACAAUCGAAGCUGUGCCCCAUUAAGACCACACACUUAUAACCCGGAAACCAAGAAUGCUCAAGACCAAAUGCAUUAUGUAACUACUUCUCCUGUCUGCUGUCCUCCAAACCCUUACUGCUGUUGGGAAAGGAUUUACCUUAAAAGGAAAGCAGGUCAUACCAGCAAGGGCAUAUUCCACACAUCUUUGUAACCUAGCUUUUUCCUGAGACAUGCUUGGAUAUACCGAAUAAUUUUAGUAAGUCAAGCGGUCCACCCUUGACCAGGCUUACGAAACUUUAACUACUUGCCCCUGCCAGCUAGGUACCAAUACUACAAUGAAGUAAUUCUGAAACUACUGGAAAAGUCUAAACCAGACUAGACUACCAAGUAUCCUUAUGUUCAGAAGCUAUCUUGAGAGAGAGGCAUGCAACGCUUGACAUUUCUAGGAGCUUUCAUUAGACUUUUACUUUGGCUUUCCAGUGCCUAUAGAACAAACACUCAACUUGCUUUUCUGUCUCCCCAAUUCUAGUCUUUGACUUCCAACAGUGGAGACUGAACUUUCUGGCGGCUACAACCUAAUAUUGUCCUUAGAAAGGUCUGCUCAGUUAUCUCUUGGAACACCACAGGUAGUAGUAUCAUUAAAACCUAAAUGAACUUUCCCAGUGAUGUACUCUAGAUGGCUGAGACUAGCUAAAUUCCUGAGGGCUCUAAGUAGCAAAGUGAGCCACAUGAAGUGAUUUGUUGUAUUAGAAACAUUUUAGGCAGAGAAAGUUAAACAGCUCAGCUCCUAUUCCAAACCUGUUGCAGAUAAAAAUUACUUACAAUUAAACUGCAACUGU